UCCAGCCUUAGAUUAACUAUUGAGAGAGCAUUUGGAGCUCUGAAGAAUAGGUUUAAGAUCCUGGAUCAUAAGCCAUUGCACACAUACUCCACUCAGGUUAAGCUUGUUCUUACUUGUUGCAGUCUGCAUAACUGGAUCCUCCAGUGGGGCUUUGAUGAACACGUGCCUGAGGAGGAAGAGGUCGAGCCUGACGAUGUUGUUAGCUCCGGCCAUGGUGUGAAGGCAUUUGACAAUGACACUUGGAAGAACAAAAAGUUGGAAUGGGCAGAGGCAAUGUGGCUUAACAGAGGUCAGUGCAGGAUUUGA
rnacentral:rRNA from 1 species